AUGGCCACCCGGGAUUCAGGGCAGCCAGCCCAUCCCGAGGUCCACGGCCUGAGUCACGUCUAUCGGACCAUCCGUCCAUCCAGCAGGAGAUCCUUCUGCCUGCCCCGGGGCCUGGCGUUUCCCCCCACCGCCCCCAAGCCUCCUGGGCACAGCGGCCAGCCUGGGGCCUGGCGGGGCCACAAGCAACUCGCAUGUGUUGGCUGUGUCAUCAGCCUGUGCUGCUGUCGCAAACACCGCAGCCAGUGGGGUCGCCGGACAAACUGCACCAACUCAGAGCUGAGACUCCUGGAGAGCCUCCUGACCACGCAGGAUCCUGCUCUGGGCCCAUCUGAGCCGGACAUUAAGGAGCAGCCAGAGGAAGACUCGGCCUUCGUGGUCCAGGCCCCCACCCUGGGCUGCGCCUCGUCCUCCAGCCCUGUGGGGCAGCCCUGCCCGAUCCAAGCACAUGCAGACUCAGCGGCAGCCCUGUUCUUGCGCACGCAGCCCCCAGCCCUCCUCAGUCAGCAGGGCCCUGAGCGGGCUGGUGGCACAGAUCAGGACUACCCGUGGGCAGAGAGGUCAGGCUGGGCCCUGGCUCCCCGGGCCCUCCAUGGCCCUGGCCCUGUGCACUGGGCUCACCCCAGCCAUCUGGGGUCUCCCAACGGAGCCCAGACCUCCCUCCAACGGGGGUCUGGAAACACACAAGCCUGCAGGACCCGUCCGCAGCAAGAAGGCAAGGCCAAGACUCAGCCCGGCAUCCAGCUCAGCACAAGCCCCACACGCUCCAACACAGAGCCACCCCCGGGCUGGCCCCAGCCCACUCCUCCGGGCAGCGCGAUGCAGAAUGGGGGUGGCGUGCCCUCAGGGGGCCCCACGCUCCUCCAUGACCGUUUCCUCGCGGGGCUGCCUCGGGGGCAGCGGAGACAGUGCCUGGUGCCCUCUGGCUUCCCAGGCCAUGGCGACCACACUGUGUGCCCGCGGCACAGCCCACGGAGCUCCUUGGUCACCAACGUCGCUCAGCCGUCCCUUCCCGGCGUGGGCACACAGGGAGCCUCCAUCCAGGGCCCACUGGUCUACCCCUUGACUUCUUGUUGCAAAACCGGCGCCACCUCCAAGACGCUGGGCUGCCUGGUCAGGGGCUACUUCCCAGAGCCAGUGACCGUGACCUGGGACACAGGAUCCCUGAAUAGUAGCACCCUGACCUUCCCUGCUGUCCAAGACUCGAGCUCCAGCCUCUACACGGUCACCAGCCAGGUGACCAUCUUGGGCGAGUGGACCAACCAGAAGCUCACCUGCAGUGUGGCUCACGCUGCAAACACCACCAUCCGGACCAUCACAGGGUGCACCAAGAAUUUCACCGACCCCUCCUUGAGGUUCUUCUACUCCUCCUGCGACCCCCACGGUGACGCCCAAGCCACCAUCCAUCUCCGAUGCUAUAUCUCCGGCUACACCCCCGGCAAAAUGAAGGUCACCUGGCUGGUGGACGGGCAGGAGGAUAGAAACCUGUUCUCGUACACCGCCCCCGACCAGCUGGAGGGCAAGCUGGCCUCCACCUACAGCGAGGUCAACAUCACGCAGGGCCAGUGGGCGUCUCAGAUCACGUACACCUGCCAGGUCUCCUAUUACGGCUUCAUCUAUGAAAAACACGCCCUCAGGUGCACAGCGGAGUCCGAGCCCCGUGGGGUGAGCGCUUACCUGAGUCCGCCCACGCCCCUCGACCUGUACGUCCACAAGUCGCCCAAGCUCACCUGCCUGGUGGUGGACCUGGCCAGCUCGGAGAACGUGAACCUGUUGUGGUCCAGGGAGAACAAGGGGGGCGUGAUUCUCCCGCCUCCGGGCCCGCCCGUCAUCAAGCCCCAGUUCAACGGCACGUUCAGCGCCACGUCCACACUGCCGGUGAAUGUCAGCGACUGGAUUGAGGGCGAGACCUACUAUUGCAACGUGACCCACCCGGACUUGCCCAAGCCCAUCCUGCGCUCCAUCUCCAAGGGCCCUGGCAAGCGCGUGACCCCCGAGGUCUAUGUGCUCUGGAGCCCUGACGAGCUCAAGAAGGGCAGGCUCACCCUCACCUGCCUGAUCCAGAACUUCUUUCCCGCGGACAUCUCUGUGCUGUGGCUGCGGAACGACGCCCCGGUGCAGGCAGACCGGCACUCCACCACCAGGCCCCACAAGGCCAGCGACUCCCUCCCCUCCUUCUUCGUCUACAGCCGCCUGGUGGUCAGCCAGUCCGACUGGGAGCAGAACAAAUUUGCCUGCGAGGUGAUCCACGAGGCACUGCCCGGCUCUAGGACCCUCCAGAAAGAGGUGUCCAAAAACCCCGAGCUGGCCCUGGAGGACCUGUGUGCGGAGGAGGCCGAGAGCCAGGAGCUGGAGGCCAUGUGGACGGGCCUCCUCGUCUUCACCACGCUCUUCCUGCUCAGCGUGAGCUACGGUGCUGCCAUCACCCUCUGCAAGGUGAAAUGGGUCCUGGCCGCCAUCCUGCAGGAGCAGCCCCCAGCCUCCCAUGACUACACCAACGUCCAGGAGCCGGCUGCCUAGGCUGGAGCAGCAUCCGCUUCCUCCCUCCGCCUCUCUGAGUGACCCUGGGGCAGCCUGCUCUGCCCUGGGCCGAGGCAGGGACCCAGCCACCACCACCAGCUCAGCCCCAAAGCCGAGGGCACUAAGGGGCCCCUCCGAUCACAGCCCCCACGCCCCCCCAACUUGGGGCCACUCCCAGAAGAGCGUGGCUCCCCCGCAGAGAGACCCCCGCUGGACGUGGGUGCCGACCACCCAUUCGCACUGAACCACCCUCGAAACAGAGCGCGGGCCCACGGUCCAGCCCACACUCAGAGCCCACCGCCAAAGCGAGGGCUCAGAGGCCAAGGCCGGCCCACGGUCCCCGUGCACCCUGCUCCGGAGUCCGAAGCCAGCCCAGCCCCGCCAGGCCUCCCUCCCCAGGCUCAGCCCGC